GAUGAAGAACGUAGCGAAAUGCGAUACUUGGUGUGAAUUGCAGAAUCCCGUGAACCAUCGAGUCUUUGAACGCAAGUUGCGCCCGAAGCCAUCAGGUUGAGGGCACGUCUGCCUGGGCGUCACAUAUCGUUGCCCAAUGCCUAUUGCAGUGCAAUAGGAAUUUCUAGGGCGAAUGAUGGCUUCCCGUGAGCGUUGUUGCCUCGCGGUUGGUCGAAAAUCGAGUCCUUGGUAGGGUGUGCCAUGGUAGAUGGUGGUCGAGUUAGAACGAUACCGAUCAUGUGCAUGCUCCCCAAAAUAUGGCCUCUAUGACCCACACGCGUCUUUUGACGCUCAUGACGAGACCUCAGGUCAGGCGGGGCUACCCGCUGAAUUUAAGCAUAUCAAUAAGCGGAGGA
rnacentral:misc_RNA from 1 species